UCUAAACUAGUCUGCGAGCUUAGAAUUCUGUAGAUCGACUUCAGCCUCACCUGGGCAUCAUUUUUAGGACUUCUUUAUCAGCUCCUCGUCAUCUGUAAGUUUAACAACCUGUACCCUUCAUCAUGCUUACAAAUGUUUGAGCUCUUGAUAAUAACUUUCCGUUGGGGUAGGAAGAGGCAUCAUCAUCAAUGGCAAUAAUCUAGAUCAAUUUUUUUGUGUUACGUAUUAUUCAAAUAACAAAAAUGAAUGUAGUUAAUUAUAAAGGAAGGAUUACUUGAGGUAUAUCUUGAGCCAGGGGUCUAU
rnacentral:lncRNA from 1 species